CCAAGUGGAUCAAGGCAGUGGAUUUGUGAAUCCACCAUGCGCG
rnacentral:tRNA from 1 species